AGCUUUGCUCAGUGGUACUAUCGUAACUUGUGUGGUUCAAUCGAGGUGCGAUUGUUGCUUAUUGAAAGCUUUACCCAAUACCCGGCUGUGCUGAAUUGAAAUAAAGUCAGUCAUUGCAAUUUUUGAUAGUUUGUGAGAAGA